rnacentral:rRNA from 1 species
CGAGCGGGCUUAUUCGGGCAACUGGAUAAGUUAGCGGCGAACUGGUGAGUAACACGUAGGUAAUCUGCCGUAGAGCGGGGGAUAACCCAUGGAAACAUGGACUAAUACCGCAUAUACUCUUGCUACACAAGUAGAGUAGAGGAAAGGAGUAAUCCGCUUUACGAUGAGCCUGCGGCCUAUUAGCCUGUUGGUGGGGUAAUGGCCUACCAAAGCUACGAUAGGUAGCCGACCUGAGAGGGUGACCGGCCACAUUGGGACUGAGAUACGGCCCAGACUCCUACGGGAGGCAGCAGCUGAGAAUCUUCCACAAUGGACGAAAGUCUGAUGGAGCGACAUCGCGUGAGGGAUGAAGGCCUUCGGGUUGUAAACCUCGGAAAUUAUCGAAGAAUGAGUGACAGUAGAUAAUGUAAGCCUCGGCUAACUACGUGCCAGCAGCCGCGGUAAUACGUAGGAGGCAAACGUUGCUCGGAUUUACUGGGCGUAAAGGGUGAGUAGGCGGACUUAUAAGUCUAAGGUGAAAGACCGAAGCUCAACUUCGGAAACGCCUCGGAUACUGUAAGUCUUGGAUAUUGUAGGGGAUGAUGGAAUUCUCGGUGUAGCGGUGGAAUGCGCAGAUAUCGAGAGGAACACCUAUAGCGAAGGCAGUCAUCUGGGCAUUUAUCGACGCUGAAUCACGAAAGCUAGGGGAGCAAACAGGCUUAGAUACCCUGGUAGUCCUAGCCGUAAACGUUGUACACUAGGUGCUUCUAUUUAAAUAGGAGUGCCGUAGCUAACGUCUUAAGUGUACCGCCUGAGGAGUAUGCCCGCAAGGGUGAAACUCAAAGAAAUUGACGGGUCCCCGCACAAGUGGUGGAGCAUGUGGUUUAAUUCGAUGAUACGCGAAAAACCUUACCUGGGUUUGAAUUGUAAGAUUAAUGAUUUAGAGAUAAGUCAGACCGCAAGGAGAUUUUACAUAGGUGCUGCAUGGCUGUCGUCAGCUCGUGUCGUGAGAUGUUGGGUUAAGUCCCGCAACGAGCGC